CCUCAGUUGUAUCCAACUGCUGGAUUCGAAAAAUGGCCGUUUCUUCCCAUCUCUUUCUCUCCCUCCCAAAAUCAACUCCAACAGCUUCUAUUUUCCUUCCAAAUUCACAAAAUUCCAUUUCAAAUCUCCCUCCAAAUCACACAAAAAACCAUCUCACAUUCAAUCCCAAUUCCAGAUUUCAAUCCAUUUCACUCCAUCUCGUCGAUCCCCUAAAACCCAAAACCCCUUCUCUCCACCGCUCCUAUUACAGCAGCCCCAUCAGAUCCCUUUUCACCGGAAUCGUGGAAGAGAUGGGCCAGAUCAAGCAACUGGGUUUUGCCGAGGACGGUGGAUUCGAGAUGAAAAUCUCGGCCAAGACCGUCCUCAGCGACCUUAAGCUCGGAGACAGCAUCGCCGUGAAUGGCACGUGCCUCACCGUCACUGAAUUCGACACCACAGCGUCGGACUUCAUGGUCGGCCUCGCCCCCGAGACACUCCGCAAGACCUCCCUGAUCGAGCUUGAACCUGGGUCGCUCGUCAAUUUGGAGCGGUCCCUCCAGCCGACCUCCAGGAUGGGUGGGCAUUUCGUCCAGGGGCACGUUGAUGGCACCGGUGAGAUCAUGUCGCGCGUGCCCGAAGGCGACUCUUUGUGGGUGAAGAUCAGGACACUGCCGGAAUUGUUGAAAUUCAUUGUCCCAAAGGGGUAUAUUGCGGUGGAUGGGACGAGUCUGACCGUCGUUAAUGUUUUCGAGGAGGAGGGAUGCUUUGAUUUCAUGUUGGUAGCUUAUACUCAGCAGAAUGUGGUCAUCCCUUUCAAGAAGGUUGGGCAGAAGGUGAAUUUGGAGGUAGAUAUAAUUGGGAAGUAUGUCGAGAGAUUGCUAAGAAGCGGGUUUGUCGAUUCCAUUCACACUUCUUGACCGGAGGGCUGUAAGGAACAGAUGCCUGGCUUGGGAUGAAGGGGGAACCUGAUACUGCAUUCACGCAGCAGCUUACGGUGUUUGCCUGUGUAAGGGUGGAUCAAAGCCUCUGACUUGUUACCUUCUCCUCCCACUACCUGACUAUCUGUGUUUCGUGCAGACAAUAAAUUUUGAGGUGCUGAAAUAAUGUAAACCUAGGACCUCUACUUUGAUCCUCUAGUUGAGUUGCAAGUGUGCCCCGGUGUGGCCCGGCGCCUCAACCAUGAGGUUGCUCGGUUCAGUCCCAGCUCACCUAUCAAAAGACAAAUGUAGUUUAGCAUCUUCUACAUCUACAUCCAUCUCAUGGCCUUCUUGUUAGGUAUUACUAAUCAGAAAUUGCUCCUAUUUCUACUAUGCCAAAGAACUGCUGAAUGUUUACGUGUCUGUGGAUGCUCCAUGUCGUAUCUUUUUUAUUUUAGUUUUUAGUCAUACCUUUGUUUCACUGCUGUCCAUGUGUGA